rnacentral:misc_RNA from 1 species
GGCGGAAGGUACGGGUGGC